rnacentral:lncRNA from 1 species
UCUGCAUCUGGUUUUACCUAUGUGAAAAUACCUCUUAUACUAAAAGCUUCACUAUUUCUGUGCUUUAGAAAAGAGAUUAGAGUUUUGCUAAGAGAGCCAUUCUGGUUUCAGAAAGCUGCUUUUGAUGACCCUAGUUUUUGCUGAAUCAUAAGCUUCUGAAAAUCAGAGAAACACACUUCAUUACAGUUCAGCAAUUAACUUGUCUUAUUCUGUUUAUAAGAAGUCAUAUGUAGGGUUUGACUGCAUGGGUUGAGCCAGACUUACCCCUCUUACUUCUCCUUCAAAGCCAGAGAACGCUGCAGAUAGAGAGAUUCAUAUGCUUUCAGUGAUCUUCCUCCUUCUCUCCCUAGGUUGGGGAAGCAGAAGGAUGAGGAGCCAGGCCUGAAGGGACUGUUAAAGAGUGAUAUAUGUACCCUGGGAAAGUCUAGCAAGCAUUACCAGUGUGUGUGUGUG